rnacentral:rRNA from 1 species
GACGAACGCUGGCGGCGGGCUUAACACAUGCAAGUCGAACGAGAACCUCAGGGCUUGCCCUGAGGGGACAGUGGCGCACGGGUGAGUAACGCGUAGGCAAUCUGCCCUCAGCUGGGGAAUAACCACGGGAAACCGUGGCUAAUACCGCAUAACAUCGAGAGUCCGCAUGGGCACUCGAUCAAAGCUUUGGCGGCUGAGGAUGAGCCUGCGUCGGAUUAGCUAGUUGGUGAGGUAAAGGCUCACCAAGGCAACGAUCCGUAGCGGGUCUGAGAGGAUGAUCCGCCACACUGGCACUGAGACACGGGCCAGACUCCUACGGGAGGCAGCAGUGAGGAAUAUUGCGCAAUGGAGGAAACUCUGACGCAGCCACGCCGCGUGCAGGAAGACACCCCUCAGGGGCGUAAACUGCUUUUGUACGAGAAGAACACCCGCUCUCGGGCGGGCCUGACGGUAUCGUACGAAUAAGGACCGGCUAACUCCGUGCCAGCCGCCGCCGUAACAC